rnacentral:snRNA from 1 species
UUCCAAUAUUCUUAUCCCGGACACUUAAAAGACAGUAUGGGACUGA